rnacentral:rRNA from 1 species
CUGGCUUCGCUGAUUCCUCCUUUCUGAAGAACUGUAAUGCCAUUAAUUUGGUGUUGCAGGGAAACAGGACUGUUACUUUGAAAAAAUUAGAGUGUUUAAAGCAGGCUAACGCUUGAAUACAUUAGCAUGGAAUAAUGAAAUAGGACGUUUGAUCCUAUUUUGUUGGUUUCUAGGAUUGACGUAAUGAUUAAUAGGGAUAGUUGGGGGCAUUAGUAUUCAAUUGUCAGAGGUGAAAUUCUUGGAUUUAUUGAAGACUAACUACUGCGAAAGCAUUUGCCAAGGAUGUUUUCAUUAAUCAAGAACGAAAGUUAGGGGAUCGAAGACGAUCAGAUACCGUCGUAGUCUUAACCAUAAACUAUGCCGACUAGGGAUCGGAUGAUGUUAAUUUUUUAAUGACUCAUUCGGCGCCUUACG